rnacentral:rRNA from 1 species
UCUCCUACGGGACGCAGCAGUGAGGAAUAUUGGUCAAUGGCCGCAGGCCUGAACCAGCCAAGUCGCGUGAGGGAUGACGGUCCUAUGGAUUGUAAACCUCUUUUGUCAGGGAGCAAAGGGCGCCACGUGUGGCGCUUUGCGAGUACCUGAAGAAAAAGCAUCGGCUAACUCCGUGCCAGCAGCCGCGGUAAUUCGGAGGAUGCGAGCGUUAUCCGGAUUUAUUGGGUUUAAAGGGUGCGCAGGCGGGAUGUCAAGUCAGCGG